UUACAUGGAGUUCUCAAACUAUGUUUUUCAUUUAUGGGGCUGGUAUCUCAUGUGGUAUGCUGUCAUUACGACCACGAGGCUGGUAAUCCUUUGGCAGUUGAAAAGUUCAUUGUAACAUGAAUUCCGGGAUAUAGUUUUAAAUUUCUUGAAAAAGGACAUAUCUAGACUAGACGUAUAUAAAAUCAUGCAGCUUGUUGAACCGUACUUGAAAUAGCUUGGCUUGUUAUCGUGGUGCUUACGAUUUGACCCAUGUGCCAUUCAAUCAGGUGACGUGUGAUUAUUUGCCUAGUAAAAAAACCGUUGAACUUGGAGCAUCAUGAUAAGGAUGUGGAAUUGAAUUCUAAGAUCUUUUUUUUUGCAAAUCAUUACCAAAUUUUGUCAGAUUGUUCAUGUAAUCAACUGUUCAGCCAUCAAGACAUCAUAUGAAAAAUUUUUUGAUUCUUCAAAGACAAAGCAACCACCCUCUAUCAUAAGAUCUUGAUGUUGAGCUUUUUUUCUUCAAUUCUGGGUUCUGUUUUGGCAAGUACUUAUCUUCAAGAGUAUAACUGAGUUACCUAUAAAAAUUCACA